CAUGUGGUUAAUGAUGCACAAUUUUUUCCCCGUCUUAUCGACCAUGGUGAGAAAAACUGAGAACUAAGCCAGUUUGUCUGAAACCACUUA